UACGUAGGGUGCAAGCGUUGCCCGGAUUUAUUGGGCGUAAAGGGCGCGUAGGCGGCUCGGCACGUCCGUUGUGAAAUCGCCCGGCUCAACUGGGCGGGGUCAGCGGAUACGGCCGAGCUUGAGCAAGCUAGGGGGCAAUGGAAUUCCCGGUGUAGUGGUGGAAUGCGUAGAUAUCGGGAGGAACACCAGUGGCGAAGGCGGUUGCCUGGAGCUUUGCUGACGCUGAUGCGCGAAAGCGUGGGGAGCGAGUCCGG
rnacentral:rRNA from 1 species